CCCAAGGUCUGUGCAGUCUGUGAAUUUGGCUCCCCUAGCUUCAACCUCUGAGCGGAUCCCCUGGUGGUACUUCUGCAGGAGCUCCACAGAUGAGACAUCCCUAAUGCAGAGGAGGAAGGGUUAUAAAGCGAUAACAGGCCAUCAGGUCUCGAACCAUGGUGAAGAAGCGGAACUUCUCAGCUGUGUCCACCAGUCUCGCCCUGCGGCCGUCGCAGGCUUCCAGCAGACCCUUCCAGGCUUCCACCACCUCUCGCUCUGUGGCCUGGAUGGCGUCUGCCCUUUCCCCUGCGUACUGGGCAUGAAGCCUUGAAGCUGUCUCCUGGAACUGUUGAACCUGGAGGAAGAAGAAGUAGGAGUUAAAUCAAUGAGCAGGUCAUAAGAGGCUGUGAGUAGCUGAGCACGAGUGUCGAUGAGCUCCAGCAGAUCGGCCCAGCUGUCAUUGAUGCUGUCCUUCCACUCUGCCAGGGUGGCAGCCUCGCUGUGGCCGGCUUCAAUCAGCUCAUCAAUCGUCUGGUUGACCAUGUCCACUCGCUCUUGUCCCACCAUCCCUGUCUCCCGUGCAAACUCUCUAAAUUUAUCCCUCAGAAGCUGGAGGAAAAAGUAAAAAUAUGUUUUAAAAGCAAAAACAGGUCCUGGCCCAUCUCCUGAGAGGAGGCCACCACGUCCCUCUCUGCGAUCCAGUGCUCCAGGUCCUCCACUUCGCGGCUGAGCAGGAAAUGGUGACAUCUGCGGCCACUUCCCUGAGUUAAUCAGCCUGCUUCCAUGUCUCUCACGCACGGUUCUGUUCCUGCCCCUCACCUUGGCCUUUUCAUCAGCGAUCAUGUAAAGCUCCUGCUCUCCGAUCCAGGCCUCGGCUUCGUCCGCG